UACGGAGGGUGCAAGCGUUGUCCGGAUUCAUUGGGUUUAAAGGGUGCGCAGGCGGGCGAUUAAGUCAGGGGUGAAAGACGGUUGCUCAACAAUCGCAGUGCCUUUGAUACUGGUUGUCUUGGGUGACCUUGAGGUAGGCGGAAUGGGUGGUGUAGCGGUGAAAUGCAUAGAUACCACCCAGAACUCCGAUUGCGAAGGCAGCCUACUAGAGGUUCACCGACGCUCAGGCACGAAAGCGUGGGGAUCAAACAGG
rnacentral:rRNA from 1 species